rnacentral:rRNA from 1 species
GACCCCGCACAAGUAGUGGAGCAUGUGGGUUUUAAAUUCGAAGAUACGCGCAGAACCUUACCAACACUUGACAUGUUCGUCGCGACUUUAAGAGAUUAAAGUUUUCGGUUCGGCCGGACGAAACACAGGUGCUGCAUGGCUGUCGUCAGCUCGUGUCGUGAGAUGUUGGGUUAAGUCCCGCAACGAGCGCAACCCACGUCUUUAGUUGCCAGCAUUUAGUUGGGCACUCUAGAGAGACCGCCGGUGAUAAACCGGAGGAAGGUGUGGAUGACGUCAAGUCAUCAUGCCCCUUACAUCCUGGGCUACACACGUACUACAAUGCUACGGACAAAGAGCAGCAAGUUCGCGAGGACAAGCAAAUCUCAUAAACCGUGGCUCAGUUCAGAUCGUAGGCUGCAACUCGCCUACGUGAAGGAGGAAUCGCUAGUAAUCG